CACACCUCCUCUCCCUCCCCUCCCAUCCUCCUUCAAAAGUCAAUUGUCAAAUACUGAGGGGAUGUGAGGAGGGGUAAGCCCCAUUCUCUCACUGCCUGCUUCACAUUCUCGCACCCUAAAAUUUCAAGUUCCCGCAAAUUGGGAGGGAAACCUCCUUUGGGGAAGCAUUCAAUAUUUGGGCAAUUGGAAAUAGAUAGAUGGUGGAGGGAGGUAAGAUGAUGCCACUGAUUUGGUAGACACUUCAUCUUCGGACAAUUA